AAUUAUUCCUGUCACACAAGAAAUGUUUCUUAUCACGCUCACAUGAAACAAAAGAUUAUGAGAUAGACAUAGAUGGAACAUACAAAACAAGCACACCAGUAAAUGUAAGUAAUAAUUACACCUUUUUUGAAAUAUGUUGUACAUCAAAAUACUGGUCAAAUUUGAAUAAAAUAUUUUUGAUGUUGAUUGAUUUUUUGGCUUUAUUUUAGUCACAUGAAACAAAAGAUGAUGAGAUCCACACAGAUGGAACAUACAAUUUAAACUUUUCAUUGCAUCUAAAUAUUAAUAAUGUCAUCACAAAAAUACGCCAAAUGACUACAAUUAUUAUUUUUUAUUUCAUUAACAGGUUUUAUUUUCGGUAUGCAAUACCGAGGUGGAACCUUUUAGAUCUGUGUCAUCCCCUCACGUUUAGUGAAAUACCGGGGUGGUUGGAACUUGAUUUGGUCCAUCCUGUCAUCAACUGUUUUUCAAUGGGACGACUUCUGAACAUCAGAGAGAUCUUGACUGUCAAGAUACGUGAAUUAGGCCACUGAACUUUUCAAAACAAAACCAACACAGGUGAAAUAUCUGAGCAUCUCCCUUGACAAUAAAUUGAACUGGGCAAGUCAUAUCGACAACAUGCAUAGUGCCUAGCAAACAUAGCGGCCAUGGGUUGUAUGAGAACCACUCUAUCGGCAUCACUUGACUUCUUUCUGAAUCUCAGACAUUUAGACCUCAUUAUUCAGGAGGAAGCACAAGCACCCACUCUAAGACUUAAAGGAAACGAUCUAUGAAAGCAAAACAAGGAGACAGGAUAUUCCGCGAUUCUGCACAAAACCCUAAAAGAAAUACCCCUCAUCAACAGGAUAGGUACCCUGUGUACACAUCUUCGACCAAAGAUAAUAUCCAGCUUACAGCGGAAACGCGAAAUUGCUCUGGAAUCAAUGAAGUUAGGAUAUACCGACGUCUUCAAAACUGAAAUAAGUACUAGGAGGUCUUCUCGAAUGACCUAAACAU